rnacentral:rRNA from 1 species
AUACGUAGGGGGCAAGCGUUAUCCGGAUUUAUUGGGUUUAAAGGGAGCGCAGGCGGAGAUGCAAGCGUGACGUCAAAUUUCGGGGCUCAACCCCGUCUCGCGUCGCGAACUGCGUCCCUUGGUUGCGGGAAGGGGAGGCGGAACUCGUGGUGUAGCGGGGAAAUGCAUAGAUAUCACGAAGAACUCCGAUCGCGAAGGCAGCCUUCCGGCCCGUCAACGACGCUCAUGCUCGAAGGUGCGGGUAUCAAACAGGAUUAGAUACCCUGGUAGUCCGCACAGUAAACGAUGGACACCCGCGGUUUGGCCUGUAUGGCUGAGCCGCCAAGCGAAAGCGUUAAGUGUCCCACCUGGGGAGUACGCCGGCAACGGUGAAACUCAAAUGAAUUGACGGGG